UACAGAGGGGGCAAGCGUUAUUCGGAAUUAUUGGGCGUAAAGGGCGCGUAGGCGGCUUGGCAAGUGGAAGGUGAAAUCCCUCGGCUCAACUGAGGAACUGCCUUCCAAACUGCUUUGCUUGAGUCCGGGAGAGGCGAGUGGAAUUCCCAGUGUAGCGGUGAAAUGCGUAGAUAUUGGGAGGAACACCAGUGGCGAAGGCGGCUCGCUGGACCGGUUACUGACGCUGAGGCGCGAAAGCGUGGGAGCAAACGGG
rnacentral:rRNA from 1 species